ensembl:lncRNA
UGCAUUUAUAAUUUUGUCUUUAUUUUUUUACAAGUUCCACAUAUAACAAGUAUUGCCUCUUGAGACACACACACAGAAAAGAAUAAUAUUGAAAUAACAGUUCUUAACAGGAUGAAAAUUCCACACUGUAUCCUUUCAGUCAUAAACAAAUGUCUUGAAAACAUUUCGGUGUGAAUCAGGUUACAUACCUAAAACUGAACAUAACACUUCAUUAGCUAAAGCAAACCAAGAUCACAAAGCAACAUUUUCAGACUUACCCACUGCAUGAUGCAGAGGAAAUGCGUGCUUACGCCUGUAGGAAUCUUAAGGCACAAUGGGAUUCAGUUUCCCCCCAGUACAGACGUCAUGCUUUGGGGAAUUUGAGACAGUCAAAUACCAGCUUUUCACUAUUUUAUUUGGACUCUGAGGGCUAUUAGCUUCCACCUGUCACCUGGUCUCAGAUUCCUGCUCAAAUUUUUAAAUAUAUCUAGCAGCCCUAUUUUUUUUUUAAUACAUGCUCCAUCAACUUUAAUUAAAUUCUUAAUAGCUGCAUAUAGCCACAAAGUUGUACUACAUUCCAGUAGGCAAGCUUCUCAUUGAGUUUUCUCAUUUUUUUUAAACAUAAUGCACCAUUUUGUCUCUUAUUUGUUUGGUUCAUCUGAUGGAGUGUGUGGUAAUUCCACGAAGGAUGGUUAUGAAUUUUUUCUAUGUGAGUAGAUCCAUGGUAAUGGAUUAAGCAAUGAAGAAGACCUUUGUGUUUGGUUGUCUUUUCUUCUUUUAGUAAAGCAUUCCUUUAACCAAAAAUUAACCAAUAAUCUUCUAGAAGUACAAGAGUGAUGUUAUUCUCACAUUAUAUACAGAGUUUUAUCUACUGUUUUCUGUCGGCUCUGAUGACAAUGUCUUCUUCCCCUAAGCUAUGGUCUUAAUCUCUUAGAAUUUGAAAUCAGAUCGAAAUAAUAUUUUUUUCUGCUUAUUUAUUUAUUUAUUUACUUAUUUUAAUUCAAAGACAAAAGCAAGCAUUGUAGAAUACCUAUCUGGCAAAAAUAAAAUAAAAUAAAAAACUUUACUAGGACUACAUCUGUGAAAAGUUCACAGGGCACUCUUUAAUCUGUGUACUGCAUCAUAGAUGUUGCAGUGACAGAAUUUGCCAAUGUACUUCAUACACUCUAAUUAUUUUUUUGAUGAGGAUGCUCUUUUAAUUAUUAUUUACAUGGUGAAAGUAGAGAUAGAAAGUUGCAAAUGUUUUCCCUUUGCUGAUACCUAAUUAUUCAAGCUCAUUAGUAUCCUGUUAUACUAAAAUUCUUGUUAAGGGCAAAACAGUGUACACCAUAUAUAUCGAACAAAGAAUUUAGUGUUAGUACAAUUAAAGUCUUAACAGUCUAUCUAAUACUAAUUACUUAAUUAAAUACAAAAUUACAGGAAAGUUUAAUUAAUAGUACAGUUAAAAAUGUUAUACAAAGACUUUCAUCUGUAUUACCUCUUUCUUAUGAGGUUGUGCUUGGUUUUCUAAUCUUGAUUGUUCUUACUAUCAUUAUAAACUAAACUAAACCAAAACACAGUUCAGAGAAAGAACCUCAAUUCAGAAUAAACCAAGAUAAGCUCAGACAUCUCCUUCCAGUACUUGAAGGGAGCAUAUAAACUGGAGGAGAAACAACUGUCUAAAUGGGUUGACAGUGAUAAGACAAGGGGGAAUGGUUUUAAACUGAGACAGGGGAGGUUUAGGUGAGAUAUUAGCAGGAAGUUUUUUAGACAGAGGGUGGUGACACACCAGAACAGGUUGCCCAAGGAGGUUGUGGAUGCCCCAUCCCUGGAGGCAUUCAAGGCCAGGCUGGAUGUGGCUCUGGACGGUCUGGUCUGGUGGCUGGCAACCCUGUACAUAGCACGGGGUUUGAACCUGGAUGAUCAUUGUGGUCCUUUUCAGCUCAGGCCAUUCCAUUAUUCUGUGAUGAACUCCUGAGAUCCUGCACUUUCAGAUCAAUAUAAAGACAGUAAUGGCAGGG